ensembl:misc_RNA Metazoa_SRP Metazoan signal recognition particle RNA
GCUGGAUGUGGUGGUGCAUGCCUGUAAGUCCCAGCUACACAGGAGGCUGAGGCGGGAGGAUGACUUGAGCCCAGGAGUUCUCAGCUUUAGUGUGUGCUUUGUGUGCUAUCAGGUGUCAGCAUAAGUUCCACAUCAAUAUGGUGACCGCCUAGGAGCGGAGGCGACCAGGUUACCUAAGGAGGGGUGAAUCAGCCCAGGUCAGAAACGGAGCAGGUCAAAAACUCCCUGCUGAUCAGUAGUGGUAUCACAUCUGUGAACAGCCACUGCACUCCAGCCUGGGCAAAAUAGUGAGACCCUGUCUCU